UCGGAGCUAGAGACCGGCGCACGGGUGCGUAACGCGUAUGCAAUCUACCUUUUACAGAGGGAUAGCCCAGAGAAAUUUGGAUUAAUACCUCAUAGUAUGUGAGAAUCGCAUGGUUUUCACAUUAAAGUCACAACGGUAAAAGAUGAGCAUGCGUCCCAUUAGCUUGUUGGUAAGGUAACGGCUUACCAAGGCAACGAUGGGUAGGGGUCCUGAGAGGGAGAUCCCCCACACUGGUACUGAGACACGGACCAGACUCCUACGGGAGGCAGCAGUGAGGAAUAUUGGACAAUGGGCGCAAGCCUGAUCCAGCCAUGCCGCGUGCAGGAUGACGGUCCUAUGGAUUGUAAACUGCUUUUGUACAGGAAGAAACACUCCCUCGUGAGGGAGCUUGACGGUACUGUAAGAAUAAGGAUCGGCUAACUCCGUGCCAGCAGCCGCGGUAAUACGGAGGAUCCAAGCGUUAUCCGGAAUCAUUGGGUUUAAAGGGUCCGUAGGCGGUUUAAUAAGUCAGUGGUGAAAGCCCAUCGCUCAACGGUGGAACGGCCAUUGAUACUGUUAAACUUGAAUUAUUAGGAAGUAACUAGAAUAUGUAGUGUAGCGGUGAAAUGCUUAGAGAUUACAUGGAAUACCAAUUGCGAAGGCAGGUUACUACUAAUGGAUUGACGCUGAUGGACGAAAGCGUGGGUAGCGAACA
rnacentral:rRNA from 1 species